UGACCUCGGAUCAGACGUGAUUACCCGCAUGAAUUUAAGGCAUAUUAUUAAGCGGAGGCAAAAGAAACUAACAAAGGAUUGCCCUAGUUAACGGCGAGUGAACGGGGAAGAGCGCAACACCACCGAAUCCCUUGGCGCAAGUCAACGGGAAAUGUGGGUGUUAAGGUAGCCCUUCGUGUCAGUCCUAGGCGUCUCAAGUCCACCUGAUUGUGGCUCAAGCCCAGAGAGGGUGUAAGGCCCGUAGAGACGCUCCGACUGAUUCCUGGGGUUUACGCUACGAGUCGGCUUGUUUGGGAAUGCAGGCCAAAGCGGGUGGUAAACUCCAUCCAAGCUAAAUACUGGCACGAGUCCGAUAGCGGACAAGUACCGUGGAGGGAAAGUUGAAAAGAGAACUUUGAAGAGAGAGUUCAAUAGUACGUGAAACCGCUUAGAGGCAAACGGAAUGGUGGCUCAUACUGGCCUGAGGAAUUCAACUGUGACGGUGGCUUGGACGAGCUGGCGUUCCGAUCUCUCUUUGGGACGGGCGUCGGUUUGGCUAUCAGCUCCGACAUGGUGCACUUUCCUUGGUGCCUGCCGCGCACGACCGACGACACUGCUACCCGGCGCGUGGGGUAAGGUGACAAACUGCUUCGGCAAUUUUGUGUUAUAGACCCCCGGCGUCGGGACAUGGUUUGGCCAGGACGUCGAGCUUGCGGCGCCCGCUCCUUGUGGCUUGGCUCGCAUGUUGGCUAAGCUUGGCUGCGCCGAUGCUUGCAGCUGGACAACGCAGUACAGGGUGACGGUUGUGGUCUUGUCUCUAGUUGGCCUCUGCGAGUUUGGCGCCUAUAGUCUGUGGUGUACUUUGUGGGUAGACUAUCCGACCCGUCUUGAAACACGCCACACGGUGCGCGAACCACAGGAGUCAACCCAAAACGGCGAGACGCACUACGAAACCAAAGUAAAAGAGCAGUGACAAGUAAAGGCCUGCUCUCGUAGGCGCGAGUGAGGUGGGAGGAUCUGGGGUGCAUCGCGAUUGGCGAGCGCAAGCCACGGGCAGGAAAGUAAGGUCUGAAGUGCUGUUCUCGAGGCUGAGUGGGGGGAUCUCGGGUGCGCGCGAUUGGCGAGCGCACCCGGCCGUCACUAUCUGUCGUCGGUGUCAGUGGGGCGCGCAAGAGAACGUACACGUGGGACCCGAAAGAUGGUGAACUAUGCUUGCGCAGCUCGAAGUCAGUGGAAACACUGAUGGAGGAGCGCAGCGGUUUCUGACGUGCAAAUCGAUCGUCAACGUGAGUAUAGGGGCGAAAGACUAAUCGAACCAUCUAGUAGCUGGUAUCCCAUCCCGAAGUUUCCCUCAGGAUAGCUGGCACUCGGGAAACAGUUUUAUCGCGGUAAAGCGAAUGAUUAGAGGCAUUGGGGUCGAAACGACCUCGACGCUAUUCUCAAACUUUAAAAUGGGUAAAAGAUGCUCGUCUCGCUUAAAUUGGAGGCGGGCUUCACCUCUCUAAAUAAUAAACGUGAAAUGUGAGUGGCCAAGUGGGGCCAUUUUUUGGUAAGCAGAACUGUAGGCGCUGUGGGAUGAACCAAACGCGCGGUAAGGCGCCCAAUGCGGACGGCUCAUGAGACACGCACAAAAGAAAAGGUGUUGGGCGAUACUGCAGCAGGAACGGUGGCCAUGGAAGUCGGAAACCCGCUAAAGGAGUGUGUAACAACUCACACCUGCCGAAUCAACCAGCCCUGAAAAAUGGAUGGCGCUGGAGCGUCGGGCGGGUAAUACCUAUAACCGGUGCCGUUGGGGCGAAGAGCAGACAAGAGAUCAAAUAAUCUGUGUGAUGAUGUCCCAACGAGUAGGAGGGUCCGCCGUGGUGAGCGCAGAAGGUGCGGCCGUGAGGCCGGCUGGGAGCCGCCGCCGACGGGCGGCAGAUCUUGGUGGUAGUAGCAAAUUACUCAGAGAUAGAGAAACCUUGAGGACUGAAGUGGAGAAGGGUUUCCAUGAGUGAACAGCAGUUUGAAACAUGGGUCAGGCGGUCCUAAGCGAUCGGGUAACUCCGUACCUAGACGAGGGUGACAACUAUCACUGAUAAUACUGUGAAGUGUUAAUAGCCUCCGGAGCGAAAGGGAAUCGUGUUAAUAUUCACACGACCCUUACAACGUGGUAGAUCGCCGAGCCUUUUUCGGGGGGCAAGUGGCGGUAACGCAAACGAACACAGAGACGUCGGCUGGAGCCCCGGGAAGAGUUCUCUUUUCUUUGUAAGGAGCGUACCCCCUGGAAUCGGCUUGUCCGGAGAUAGGGGCGUGGCUUCCGUAAAGCAGCGCGGGUCUUGCGCUGUCCGGUGCACUCUAGUCGGCCCUUGAAAAUCUGUGGGAGACAGUGUGAUUUUCACGGUAGGCCGUACCCAUAUCCGCAGCAAGGUCUCCAAGGUGAACAGCCUCUAUAGUCCUAGAACAAAUGUAGGUAAGGGGAAGUCGGCAAAAUGGAUCCGUAACUUCGGGAAAAGGAUUGGCUCUGAGGGCUGGGUCGGAUGGGCUGGCGUAAGAAGCUGUUCCGGUUUUGGUGAGGACUGGGCGAGGCUUUCGGGCUUUACUCGGACCAUGCCGAGACCAGGCAGUAGACGACGUCAGCUGUGCUUGUCGUGUUUCGGCGCGGCGAGCAGCUUCGUCCGGCAACAAACAGCCAACUCAGAACUGGCACGGACUAGGGGAAUCCGACUGUCUAAUUAAAACAAAGCAUUGCGAUGGCUGUUGCUCGGUGUUGACGCAAUGUGAUUUCUGCCCAGUGCUCUGAAUGUCAAAGUGAAGAAAUUCAAUCAAGCGCGGGUAAACGGCGGGAGUACUACGACUCUCUCUUAGACGGGCCGCUUGAUGAUGGUGUGCUGGACUGAGAGACAAACCUGAGCGUGGGCGUGGGCAGACCAGCCUGCUGUUACUAUGGUGGACAUGCAGGUUAGGCCACUGCCACCUCUCGAGAUGGUGAAACUAUGCUAUGUUGAGGCAGAAGCUUGGCCGAAGCUUGGAUGACUGUUCAGUAAUGGCGGCUGGAUGCCGGGGGGCUCCAGUUCGAAAAAUGGCUCCACUACUGGGGAAACCUGGUAGAGGGUGAACAUUACUGAUCAGGAUUCCGGGCUAAAGCUUUGCUUCUAGUGCGGAUGAUUGUGAGGAUUGUUCUGCCUUCGGAUUGGGUGGCCCCCCGCACCCGGUUCGGUCUGGUGGUUCGAUUCUCACCGGAGGGAUCCUUGCUCCGUAGGUACGCCCUUGGAGUAGGGGGGAACUUCGCUCGAAUUGAAACACGGAUCAGGAUCGGGCCUGCACGCGCUAUGGUCGGGUGCGGCUCGAACUCUAACAUACUUUCAUUUAGCUGGUCUCCGCUUAGGCGGGUCCGGGUUUCGAUUCGGAUGUUGAUGAUCGCAGGGUAAAGGCGCGAUGGCAGAGCUGGCUCGUCUUGGCGACGCCGGAGUGCUUAUCCCUGUCUGACAGUGUUGGUGCCUCCAAGUGGCGAGAGUCGGGCAACGGUGCGGUCGAGUGCGAUGUAUAUAUGUACUUUUUUAUUCUGUUUAUCUUUUAUUUUCACUUUAUUAACUUUUUUCUAACUUUAAUUUUAAUCGUUCUGGUAUUGUUACCUUUAUAUUUCUCAUUAUUAUUAUUAUUACUUAACUUACUCGUACUCGGUCGUAAGCGGCUAAAUCCCACUGUCUAAUCAGCUAGUUCCGGGUUAGCUCCCCGGUUCUGGCUUUGUGUCAUCCACAGGCUCCGAAGACUACUAAGAAAAAUUCGAACUCGGCCACUGCCGAGUCGCAGGGUGACACCUGCACCUCCCCGAAAGGGGGUCAGGGUGCCAGUUGGAGCUGUCCGGAUUGUGAGAGAGCGUUUUCGACCAAGACGGGGCUUGGAGUCCACCGCAGGGCUCGGCACCCCUAGUAGUUUCCAUCAGCAGAAGUGUGAGGAAGUUGAGAAGCAGAGUAAGAGACGGUGGACGGAUGAGGAGAAGCAUAUCCUAGCUAGAGCUGAGGCAGGGUUUAGCGGAGCCGAGGCAGGUAUUAAUGACUUAUUAGUAGCAGCAAAUAUUCUUCCGGGAAGGACUAAGGAGAGCAUUAAGGGGGCCAGAAAGGCGGCAGCUUAUAAGCUCUUGGUUGAGAAAUUUAGAGAGGAGCGUAGUACCGAGC
rnacentral:ncRNA from 1 species